rnacentral:rRNA from 1 species
AUACGGAGGGUCCGAGCGUUAUCCGGAAUCAUAGGGUUUAAAGGGUCCGUAGGCGGGAAUCUAAGUCAGUGGUGAAAUCUUGCAGCUCAACUGUAAAAUUGCCAUUGAUACUGGAUUUCUUGAAUUAGUGUGAAGUGGUUAGAAUGUGUAGUGUAGCGGUGAAAUGCAUAGAUAUUACACAGAAUACCAAUUGCGAAGGCAGAUCACUAACACUAUAUUGACGCUAAGGGACGAAAGCGUGGGGAGCGAACAGGAUUAGAAACCCGAGUAGUCC